GCAAUCGGUCAGCAUUGCAUCUUAUGGCGUGCAGCCAGAGCAGGUUCCGGAGGGGAAAUGGCCCAAGCCCAUCGCAUCGCCCCGGUGGCACACUCACAGUGCUUCUCACACAGCCCCCAGAUGAGUCAGCCCAGCAAGGUCACCCUAAAACUGUUGCACAGCUCCCAUCACAUCUCACACAAAGCCAGUCCUCUCCUCGCGUUGGCUUGGCAGAGCGGGACGAAGCUGUCCUCCUUCCCAGGCCAUGCAGCGAGCAGCGGUGCUACAGAGGCUGCAGGGAGGGCACGGGGCAAGAGGCAGCUACGUGGCACUGCCAGAACAGUCACGUGAAGGCAGGAGCACCGAAAUGGGUACCGUUCUGCCGGGAUAUUGAGAGAAAACCAGAGGCAGCACGCAUAAAUGGGAGUAGCAGACAUCCAUACAUACCCAGAAACGAUACUGUGAUGAGGAAAAGUCUAAGAUCCUUUUUGGACUAAGUACUGACUGGUGAAAGAGCCUACCAUAUGACUCAAAGGAAAAAUAUCAUGAAGUUAUUACUGCUAUUAAACAGAAGCUCUUAUUCCGUCAUUCCCUAUUAGUAAUAAGAGUAAAAAGAUUUGCUCUGAUACAUACUUUAACAUGUUCAUCAAAAUUCCUGUAGUCAUUUUCAAUUAAAAGUUAACUUCUCAUCAUUUUUUUCAACCC